AGUGAACGCUGGCGGUAGGCCUAACACAUGCAAGUCGAACGGCAGCACAGUAAGAGCUUGCUCUUACGGGUGGCGAGUGGCGGACGGGUGAGGAAUACAUCGGAAUCUACUUUUUCGCGGGGGAUAACGUAGGGAAACUUACGCUAAUACCGCAUACGACCUACGGGUGAAAGCAGGGGAUCUUCGGACCUUGCGCGAUUGAAUGAGCCGAUGUCGGAUUAGCUAGUUGGCGGGGUAAAGGCCCACCAAGGCGACGAUCCGUAGCUGGUCUGAGAGGAUGAUCAGCCACACUGGAACUGAGACACGGUCCAGACUCCUACGGGAGGCAGCAGUGGGGAAUAUUGGACAAUGGGCGCAAGCCUGAUCCAGCCAUACCGCGUGGGUGAAGAAGGCCUUCGGGUUGUAAAGCCCUUUUGUUUGGAAAGAAAAGCAGCAGGUUAAUACCCCGCUGUUCUGACGGUACCCAAAGAAUAAGCACCGGCUAACUUCGUG
rnacentral:rRNA from 1 species